rnacentral:rRNA from 1 species
UACGAAGGGGGCUAGCGUUGCUCGGAAUCACUGGGCGUAAAGCGCACGUAGGCGGAUUGUUAAGUCAGGGGUGAAAUCCUGGAGCUCAACUCCAGAACUGCCUUUGAUACUGGCGAUCUUGAGUCCGGGAGAGGUGAGUGGAACUGCGAGUGUAGAGGUGAAAUUCGUAGAUAUUCGCAAGAACACCAGUGGCGAAGGCGGCUCUCUGGGACGGUACUGACGCUGAGACGCGAAAGCGUGGGGAGCGAACGGG